UACGUAGGGGGCUAGCGUUGUCCGGAAUCAUUGGGCGUAAAGCGCGUGUAGGCGGUCCGGUAAGUCCGCUGUGAAAGUCGGGGGCUCAACCCUCGAAUGCCGGUGGAUACUGUCGGGCUAGAGUGCGGAAGAGGCGAGUGGAAUUCCUGGUGUAGCGGUGAAAUGCGCAGAUAUCAGGAGGAGCACCAAUGGCGAAGGCAGCUCGCUGGGACGGUACUGACGCUGAGGCGCGAAAGCGUGGGGAGCAAACAGG
rnacentral:rRNA from 1 species